rnacentral:rRNA from 1 species
UACGUAGGGUGCAAGCGUUGUCCGGAAUCAUUGGGCGUAAAGCGCGCGUAGGCGGCCUCGUAAGUCCGUUGUGAAAGUCAAAGGCUCAACCUUUGAAAGCCGAUGGAUACUGUGAGGCUAGAGUCCGGAAGAGGCGAGUGGAAUUCCUGGUGUAGCGGUGGAAUGCGCAGAUAUCAGGAGGAACACCAAUAGCGAAGGCAGCUCGCUGGGACGGUACUGACGCUAAGGCGCGAAAGCGUGGGGAGCAAACAGG